UGGUUUUAGUACAUAGUCGCCAUGAAUGGCGAAUCGUGCUUGCUACUGAUACGGGCCAGUAGUAUCUUUUGAAGGUUUUUA
rfam:Glossina pallidipes unplaced genomic scaffold Scaffold12, whole genome shotgun sequence.